rnacentral:tRNA from 1 species
GUUGUGGCUCAGCGGUAGAGCGCUUGCCUAGCAUGCAUGAGGUGCUGGGUUCGAUCCACAGCACAACA